rnacentral:SRP_RNA from 1 species
GCCAGGAGUGGUGGUGCUCAUUUAUAAUUCCAGAUACUUGGGAAGCUGAGGCUAGUAGAUCUCUUGAGAUCUGGAAUUUUGAGUUAUAGUGGAACUACAUUGAUUAGGUGUUUUUACUAAGCGCAUCAUUAAUAAGGUGAGCUUCCCAGGAAUGAGAAGAUACCAGGUUGCCUAAGGAGUAGUGAACCAGCCCAGUUUAGGAACAGAAUAGGUCAAAAUUCCCAUGCCAAUCAGUCUUGAAAUCAGGCUGGUGAGUGUCCCCUAUACUUCUUUUCAGUGCGCUAUAUAACUCUAAGUCUAU